rnacentral:tRNA from 1 species
GGGGGUAUAAUUCAAUUAGGUAGAAUGUUGAUUUCGCAAGUUAAACAUCUGGGUUCAAUUCCUGGUAUCUCCA